ACUCCUACGGGAGGCAGCAGUGGGGAAUAUUGGACAAUGGGCGCAAGCCUGAUCCAGCCAUGCCGCGUGAGUGAUGAAGGCCCUAGGGUUGUAAAGCUCUUUCACCGGUGAAGAUAAUGACGGUAACCGGAGAAGAAGCCCCGGCUAACUUCGUGCCAGCAGCCGCGGUAAUACGAAGGGGGCUAGCGUUGUUCGGAUUUACUGGGCGUAAAGCGCACGUAGGCGGACUAUUAAGUCAGGGGUGAAAUCCCGGGGCUCAACCCCGGAACUGCCUUUGAUACUGGUAGUCUUGAGUUCGAGAGAGGUGAGUGGAAUUCCGAGUGUAGAGGUGAAAUUCGUAGAUAUUCGGAGGAACACCAGUGGCGAAGGCGGCUCACUGGCUCGAUACUGACGCUGAGGUGCGAAAGCGUGGGGAGCAAACAGGAUUAGAAACCCCGGUAGUCCCAUGAU
rnacentral:rRNA from 1 species